GUAUUCACUUCGACAGCACAUAUACUAAAAAAUUGGAACGAUACAGAGAAAAUUAGCACAGUCCCUGCACAAGGAUGACACGCAAAUGCAUGGAAAAAAAAAACCAGAA